rnacentral:rRNA from 1 species
CAAUAGCGUAUAUUAAAGUUGUUGCAGUUAAAAAGCUCGUAGUUGGAUUUCUGGUGGGAGCGAUCGGUCUGGCGCUUAGCGCGAGUACUUGCAUCGUCUCCGGCCAUCCUUGGGGAGAGUCUGUCUGGCAUUAAGUUGUCGGGCAGAGGAUCCUCAUCGUUUACUGUGAAAAAAUUAGAGUGUUCAAAGCAGGCUUAUGCCGUUGAAUAUAUUAGCAUGGAAUAAUAAGAUAGGACUUUGGUACUAUUUUGUUGGUUUGCGCAUCAAAGUAAUGAUUAAUAGGGACAGUUGGGGGUAUUCGUAUUCCGUUGUCAGAGGUGAAAUUCUUGGAUUUACGGAAGACGAACUACUGCGAAAGCAUUUACCAAGGAUGUUUUCAUUAA